ensembl:lncRNA
UGAGUACAUGUGUAUGGUUACAGGGUGUCUGCUAAACCAGUGUUUGGCUUAGCAAAGCCGUUUGAUCUAUGCAGCAUCACUGGGUUUGUGGUCCACUUUAUGAGACUGCAUUAAUUUCAUUCUGAUCAUGUCAGACUGUAAUAAUGAAUGCUUACUUGGACUACAAGUUGCAUUUGUCUCUGUAGCACUCAAAGCUGUAGCUGGUAGUAGUUCGGGAACCGCUAAACCUACAGUAGAGCCCCUUAUACUUUACCUAAACUAUGUAUGUACUACUAACACUACUACUUGUUUUACUUAAUGUUUUCUUUUUAAAUACUUUGUAUUAUUAGAAAGCUUUGAGCUGUUGUCAGACUUGUCACUGUUUCCCAGAAAGCUUCACCUUUUUCUCCUGUGCUGCUUGUGACAUACACUAUGCAUGUAGCAGCUUCAAAGAGGCACAUUAAACUCUAAUGUACACGUGAAAAGGCAACGCUAGCAUGAUUCCCUAUGUGCUUUCUUGGUUGUUUCAAAACCCAUAGAAAUACAGGUCAGAUGAACUAAAUGUGAUUAUACUGUGUCAUAUUUACUUGUUUUUUUUUUUGUUUGUUUGUUUGUUUUAUAGGUAAUUUAAAAAAAUAGCAUAAUUUCUUCACCAUUUGCAGUAGCAAGCCUUGUUAUACCGGUGUGCAAUGUGUCAUUUUGCUGCUCUUCAGACCUCAAUCUCUGCUUACUGUGUAACAUCUAAAACAAACAGUAUGUGUUAAAGCAUAGCUGAGGGUCUCUAUUAUACGCUGAGUCAUGAUUUGCAGAUUACUAUGGAUCCCUUCCAGGAAGAACACAAUAUUACAGGUCGCACAUGCAUAAUGUAUAGACCUUUCCACACUCCACAUGUUUUAUUCAGUGAUAUUUUUUUUUAAAAAUUAUCUUAACUGUAGGCAUCAUGUUUCCACAUUUAUAAAUGUUCCAAUGUUUUUAGUAACUGUGUUUUUAAAUUUUGUGAAACACUUAAUGGUCAAAAGUUUUGAGCACUCCCUCCAUUUUCCAGACACUAUGUGAUGUAAACAGCAGUAACUGGAAAAGUGGAGGUGUGCUAAAACUGUUGACUGAUUCUGUACGUUGUCUGUAUGGUUCUGCAGUGAUGCUCAGCUGAGACCUCCUCACAGUCUUACAUAUUUCAGUACAGGGAUCUGAUAAACCUUCCUUCUCUAACCUCCAGUAAGGUUCCUGCAGUUAAACCUCUAUGGCCUCUCGUCACUUCUUAAAGCUGCCACCUUUUGUCCUUCUGUUUCACACAAGCUGUACUUUUGCAAAAAAAGAAGCUUUUUUUUUUUUUUUAAAUAUAUAUCUAUCCGUUUAAUUCCUUUUACAGAAUGAUCAAACAAGGCCAGUGUCAUCACAUGAUCUGAGAUUAAGUCAUGCUGCUAGAAAAAUGUAUGGAUUUUUUUUGUCAUAAUUUUGAAUCUGUAUCAAAAGAGGCACAUUUUUUUUCUAUUAAACCUAUAAUAAAGACAUAAUAUUGCA